rnacentral:rRNA from 11 species
ACCCUGUUGAGCUUGACUCUAGUUUGACAUUGUGAAGAGACAUAGAGGGUGUAGAAUAAGUGGGAGCUUCGGCGCCGGUGAAAUACCACUACCUUUAUCGUUUCUUUACUUAUUCAAUGAAGCGGAGCUGGGAUUAACGUCCCACGUUUUGGCAUUAAGGUCCUUCGCGGGCUGAUCCGGGUUGAAGACAUUGUCAGGUGGGGAGUUU